GAACCCCAAAGUCCGACCUGCUCUACAGCCUGGGAGGCCCCAGUGUACCCAGAAGAUGGUAACCCUUUUCUUACCCAGCAGAUGUGAGUAAAUCUCCCCUGCUUUUCCCAUCUGAAUCUAAAAGAACAACCUCAGAUGCAAAGUUUCUCACCUUGUUAUUUUAUUAGAAGCGUAUAUACAUCCUUACAGUUAACUUUGCAGAGAACAUUUUACAAAACUUUUGUAUAAAAUUUGGAAACUACAUAAAAAUAACUUCUAUCCUUCAUAAAGGGGAAAAUAUAAGUUAGUUACAGUUACUCGGCUAAAAAAUGACUGAAAAUGAGAAACAGUUCCGCCUGUCCCUUCCAGAGAAAACAUGAGCACAGAGCACGAGGAAUACUGUAUGGGCCUUCCCAGUGAUGGGCGUUGCACGCCGGCUCCAUCGUGAGGCUGGGAGACCCAACCGAACCCCAACCAGAAAGGACAGGGGAGCUGGUAGGGCUUGGGCAGCACUGAGCAGGAAGCAGCAACUCCUUGAGUGAGAUUCCAAAGUGAAAGACAAACCAGAUAAGGGAAUGAUCGAAACUGGCGCCUGAACCAUGAAAUAGGCAUUUCAUCUAAUACUCACUCUCACACCCCAGGCUACAAAGCCAGUGCUGUAUUUUAAAGCCCAACAGCCCUGCCAUUGGUCAGUGCCUGACCAUCCACCAGUGCUGGCCUCACCUGGUGGAACUGGGUCUAUGUUCUGCAAUACACUGCUGCUAGUUCACUUUUCCCCGGUACCUGGGCAGCAGAGGAAAUCAGAGCAGAUUGUUAUUUCACUUGUCUCAUUUGUGUGAGAGCUGAAAGUUGUUACUGCUGAGGCAGGCAAAGCUGAGUGCUCCCAAAACCAAGGGGACCAACGCCUUCCCACACGGAUACUUCCCAGAGUAUCUUUACUGCAUAUGUAAGAGGUAGGAGCCCCAAGUCCCUUUUCCUGUUGAAUGGCUACCCUCCCUUCCCAAGAUCCAGUUACCACCAGUGCUCAGAACACUCCAGGGAAUUGCUUUAGAAAGAUAAAGCAUCAGACCUUAGACUAUAGGAGUGAAAAAAGUCCUCCCACACAGCCACUCAUCAUCAGCAAAGUAGUACCCAGGUUCAAUACACCUAUUUCAUUCCUUAAAAUCACCUGCAGUUUUCUGCUUUGUUUGUUUGUUUUUUAA
rnacentral:lncRNA from 1 species